UAAAUACUCCCUCCGUCCCAAAAUUCUUGUCUUGAAUUUGUCUAAAUACGGAUGUAUCAAGUCAUGUUUUAAUAUUAGAUACAUCCGUAUCUAGACUAAACUAAGACAAGAAUUUUGAGACGGAGGGAGUAGUUU
rfam:Triticum aestivum genome assembly, contig: Triticum_aestivum_CS42_TGACv1_scaffold_343038_4DL